rnacentral:misc_RNA from 1 species
AACGGUCUAUACCUGCGGUACCUGCGGAGGGAUCAUUACAGAGUUCAUGCCCUCACGGGUAGAUCUCCCACCCUUGAAUACUAUACCUUUGUUGCUUUGGCGGGCCGCUUUGGCUACUGGCUCUGGCUAGUAAGUGCCCGCCAAAGAACCCCAAAACUCUGAAUAUUAGUGUCGUCUGAGUACUAUAUAAUAGUUAAAACUUUCAACAAUGGAUCUCU